CAGGGGAUGUUAUGCAGUGGAGUUGCUGUCCUGGCCUCUUUGCUUCUUGUCAGCAACUGUGGAGGAGAUACCAAGGAAUAGAAGGAGGUGGGCCACUCUUUGCCUUAAUUUGAACAGGAACAACUGAAUUAAGCAGACCUACAUCAGAAGAAGAUAUCGUUUGGUAUUUCAAAGGUGAGCGUGCACAAAGACACUUGUGCAUGAAGAUUUAAGUGGAAGAGUCGAUGCACAGAGACAGUCCUACUCUCUCGGCGUUGGAAGCCUGGGUCCAGUGGCACCAAAAGUCAUUAUACCUGGAGACUUUCUCAGCUGCAUUGGAUGGCCGUGUUGUCCUUUGUGCUCCAACACUCCCUGAGCACUCCACAGUGCUUUGCUGCGUCGCCCUCUCAGCCGUUGAACCUUCUUGUUGGUUUCAUCCAUCUGUUCCGCCAAAGCAGUCUUCACAUGCUGGGGAACCUUGGAGCUUCUAUGUUCAACCUUGGCUCUUGAACUACUUCUUGGAGGAUUGCUCUGAAUCUUCUCAUUUGGACUUUGGUGUUGGAGGACUUUGCUUUGGGUCUUGUCCUUCAGUCUUCUUCUUUGGAGUUCAUCUUGGAUAGACAAUGAAGAAUUACCAACCAAGAAAAAGGAAUAGAAAUAAUCCAAACUCCAGAGAUGAACAAGAGAGACGCUGGAAUGGUAUAGAAAAGGAAUCUGAGAAACACAACAGAAGAUUUGACCAGCUUCAAGAAUCAAGAAGGAAGCAUUACUGAUGAUGGGAAAACUCUCCAGCAAGGCAAAAAUAAUAUUGAAAUAUUUUACUUCAGUUUAAACUGAAUUUUAAAAUAUUUAUUGUAGAAUUUUAUUGUACAAAGAGUAUAAAAUAUUGGUUUGUAUUAAUGCAUUUUAAUAGGCUUUCAGUGGAAUGUGUUUUAUAAUCAGUUUCCCCUCAUCAAAAAAAAACAAAACUAACAAAAACAAUCCUCCCCCUUUCAGUUAAACAUAUUUGAAGAAAAUAUUUUCAUAUAAGAGGAGACCUUAAUGCUUGCUAAUAUUUUGAAUAAAGUUGUAAAACUCUCAUUGAAUCA
rnacentral:lncRNA from 1 species